GUGGUGGUGGAGGUGUUAGCUUACGACUUUGGGUGAGGAGAUGAAGAUGGUGUAUAGUUUGAUGGUUCAAGGAGAGGUGAGACCAACUUAAGGAGAAAAGCGACUAGACGGGCCUCUAGGGUUGCUCUAGUCUUGAUCUUGGAAGCGUAUGGCCUAAAUUUGGCAGCAUACCAUUACAUUAAUCCAAGAUGAAAUACAAGGGGGAGACAUCUCUAUUUAUAGACCAAGGGUGUCUCUUUCUAACCUU
rnacentral:lncRNA from 1 species